UACGAAGGGGGCUAGCGUUGCUCGGAAUCACUGGGCGUAAAGCGCACGUAGGCGGAUUGCUAAGUCAGGGGUGAAAUCCUGGAGCUCAACUCCAGAACUGCCUUUGAUACUGGCGAUCUUGAGUCCGGGAGAGGUGAGUGGAACUGCGAGUGUAGAGGUGAAAUUCGUAGAUAUUCGCAAGAACACCAGUGGCGAAGGCGGCUCAUUGGCCCGGUACUGACGCUGAGGUGCGAAAGCGUGGGGAGCAAACAGG
rnacentral:rRNA from 1 species